UCCAGGGUAGCCUAGUGGACAUGGCAUCUGCCCGGUAAGCGGAACACUGUGGGUUCGAUUACCACCCUUGGAC